UACAGAGGGCCCGAGCGUUGUUCGGAUUUACUGGGCGUAAAGGGUGCGUAGGCGGCGGUGUAAGUUGGGGGUGAAAUCCCGAGGCUCAACCUCGGAAUUGCAUUCAAUACUGCUUCGCUCGAGUACUGGAGAGGAGGCUGGAAUUUACGGUGUAGCAGUGAAAUGCGUAGAUAUCGUAAGGAAGGCCGGUGGCGAAAGCGAGCCUCUGGACAGUUACUGACGCUGAUGCACGAAGGCCAGGGGAGCAAACGGG
rnacentral:rRNA from 1 species